rfam:Oscillatoriales cyanobacterium JSC-12 chromosome, whole genome shotgun sequence.
CACAAAUGAAUCAUGAAACCCUAGACAGCAGGUGCUUUUAGCUUAAUAGCCUGCCGAGGUUUCCAAGGCUUCUUUUCAUUGCUAGCUCUGUGUUGAUGGCUGCUUGAAAGAUGAUGGAAAACCCCGGCAGUUUGUCCGGGGUUUUUGGUUGUCAGG